GGCACUCAAACCCAUGAACUGAGAUUAUGACCUGAGCCAAAGUUGGAUGCUUAACCAACUGAGCCACCCAGGCUCCCCAGUUUUCUUUAAAAGUUUUACCAGAGAAAGAAAAAUAGGCUAUAUGAGACUAAUAGAAUAUCCCAGAUGUCAGUAAAGCAAAUGAUUAUGUAAAAGCACUUUAAUUACUGUCAGUCUCCUAAAAACUCCAUAGAUGAGUUUUGCAUGGAUAACGAUAAGGAAGGAUUAUGGUGAAAUAUAUUCUGUGCUUUUAUUAGGAUUAUCUAUCUAGAAAGUCACAUGUCCAAGGUAGUCCGUACAGGAAGGGUGGAAAGAUAGAAUCUACCAUCAGCCCUAAAGAAACUCAUCAUCUGUCUCCGUCAGGGCUCUCCUCUUUAGUACACCUGCUGUCUUCCAAGUCUUUCUCUUUCCCAAGCUGUCUAUCAGAUAGUUUAUUCAUACCAGCAGUCUUGUCUUUUUUGCCCCUCUUGCCAUACUCCUGACUUGUUCUGUCAGAUUUCCCAUUCUCACUUUCAUCUCUACCACUUCUCUCAUUAUGCCAGCAGCUCACAGGAGUGAUAAAUGCAAAGCUCAGGAGGGUAGCGAGGCAGCUGGUGAAUGCUCACAUGUUACUGAUUUCUCCUUGCUACAGCCCAUCUCUUUCUCCCCCAGCCAAUCCAUUAACAAAUGCUGUGCACCCUGCUCCAGUACCUAUCUGAAUCCAUUCACACUUUGCUGCUCUACCAUUGGCCUGAUCUGAGCCCCUCCAUCGCCAGCCUAGAUUACUGCCAUGACCUUCAAGGCCGGUCCUGCUGCCACUGUGUCCGGUUACAGUUUAUUCCCCACAUGGUGGAAGACUGAUCUUUGACAAAUGUAUAGCGAAUCAUCUUUCUGCUGUGCUCAGAAUCCCUCCGUGGCUCCUCACUGUUGAGAUCUAGCCCUCUGGUUCAGUGGUUGAUGGUAAAUGUUUAAUAGUCAGCCUUGGAAAGGACCCUGAUUUGUAGUCUGUCAAUGUUAGUGGUGUAAAUAAUUUUAUCAUGGCCUGUUUCAAGCUUCUUUCUUUCUUUUCUUCCUCCUUUUUUUCCUCCUCCCUCAUUCCCUUUUUUCCUUUCCCUUCUUCCUUCAUCUCUUUUCUUGUUCCCUGCCUCCUCCUCCUUCAGAAUGUACAUUCUGGGACAGGAAGAUCCGUGUUUGUCUUAGUCACUGCUCAUGUUAAGUGAGAGAAGCUUCAUCCAGAUUGGCCCACUCAGUUUUAAACAUCCGCAUAUUAUUAUGAUCACUGAUGCAAUACAUGCGUGUGAACUUGAACCUCUGUGGCACAACUUUUCGCAAAACCCUGUCUGCCAACUUCUGUCCUUACGUUUCCAUCUACAGAUCACAGCAUUUGGUCUUGCUGCUCCUAAUGCAACCGGAGGCAGUUACACUUUGAUUGAAUCUGGAAGAUGUUUUUCUCCCUUGCCUAAAUAUCUUUGACCACACAGCAUGAGCUUUGCGCCUAUUGGUGAUACAUUUUCUGACUCUGAGGGCCUGAGGAAAUUGAUGUGCCGAGAGAGGCACCUCCCGUUCAACCCCUCAUCACUCUCCUUGGGACACCUGCCUCGUCAACCAUCUGGAUGACCAGUGCCCCGACCUCCACACAUUCCCUCGACCCCUCCUUCACACUGCUGGCAGAACAGGCUUCUCGAAAUGUGAAUCUGAUCCUGUCCACCCUACCGAAACCUCCAGGGGAUGAAAGGAAACCUUCCUGGGUUCUGUGUGUCCCACCCACUGCUUUACCCUCUCAGCCAGGCUGAAUGCUUGUGUGACCCCCACCCCAGUCCAUAUAUUGAAAUCCUAACGCCGGAGGUGAUUUUAGGAGAUGGAGCCUUUGGGAGGUGCUUAAGUCAUGGAUGGGGAUGGAACCUUCGUGAAUAGGAUUAAUGGUCUCAUGAAAGAGGCCUGACAGAGCUUCCUGACCCCUUCCGCUGUGUGAGGACACAGCCAGGAGGUGCCAUCUCUGAACUGGGAAGAGGGUCCUAACUAGACAUCACAUGGAGUCUGCUGGGGCCAUGACCUUGGACAUCCAGCCUCCAGAACUGUGAGAAAUAAAUUUCCAUUGUUUGUAAGUCACUCAGUCUGUGGUAUUGUGUGAUUGCAGCCAGAACUAGGACACCCCCGUGGGCACUCCACCAGCCUGGCUUCCUUUAACCUGCCCUGGCUGCGUUUCAGUCUCGUUCCUGCCAUCUCCCACCGGCUGCGUGGCUGUGGCACAUUCUAUUGUUCCCUCUUCACUCACUUAAUGUCUCUUCUUUCAGUUCGCAGAUCGACAUCACCGGCUCAGGGACACCUUCUCUGGUUAGGUCCCAGCCCCCUUAUUUUCAGCUGCCGCUGUUCCAAGGGGCUCUACUUGGGAGCAUUUCUUCCAGUAAGUUUUUCUACAUCAUCUGGUGGAAUUGGGUCCAACAGAAUUUAAACCCAGUUCUGUUCCUGUGUAGUUUCCACCUAUCUUUUCCAGAUCAGGAAAGCAGUACCCACAACACCUUGCACACAGAGGAAGCAAAGUCCCAGGCACUCAACAAAUAGCCAUGGGAAGUAUGAGAAGCCAUGUUUUCCAAACGGUGGUUUGUGAUUCAUUACUGGAUCGAUUGAGUGGGUCUCAACCACCACCUUUUUUUUUUUUAAAGGAAACUGAACCAAACAGACUAGAACAGAACAAGGUGUAGCUAUCAGGAUAUGUCACAGAAAGAAGGGGUCAGUUUUGUGUCCUGAAUGUUUUGUUUCAGUUGUUUGUUUGUUUGGGUUUUUUUUUCAUAUAAAUGAGCUUGUACCAGGCCAUGGGAUGAAAUAUAUUUCCCCGUAUCACAUAGGUCAGGGUCAAAAAUGUUUGGAAAACUCUGGUCUGCUGGGAUCAUCUAGUUAAGUAUUUCUCCAGGACACUUUCAUCAGCCAAAAAUUCCUUUCAAAAGGAUUUCCUAGUCAAUUACAGUAGAGUAACUCAGAGCAAACCACUGACUCUCGUGGAGAGAAAAAUCUCCAUAGAUCUCAGCUGCCUGGGAGAUGCACAAGAGUCAAAGAUGUUAAAGACUGUGUCUGUUUGCAUCAUCAAAUCUGUUGAGUGUAGAACUUUCCAAACAUGUUUGAGCACUGAGUAUCUCCCCCCUCUUUUAUUUUUAAUGACCCUGAAAUACCUCUGACUCUCUCCCUAGAUCCUACUUUGGAGACACACUGACCCCUGCCUCAAGGACCUCACUGCAUGGUCCUUGUUGGUAUGAUGGUGGGUCUGGGGAGGUGGCUGACCCCUCACCUUGGCAUCUGACCUCCCACUCGGGUGAUGAUUUUGAAUGCACCUUCCUCAUACACUCAGAGACCCACUCCUUCAGACAUAGACAUAGGUGCCUUUUUCCAUUAUCCCCCAAUAGGCCUCCCGGUUGCCUCUGCCUAAUCUUUCCUGGUCCUUCUCUGCCAAGUGCACGCAUUUGCAAGACAACACCCUGUCACUGGGGUAACUCCUGGGCCAUGAAGAGAAGGAAGUUAAGUGGCGCACAUAGGGACUGAGCUUAUGAGCUGGCCUCAUUCUUUAUGCUUGGUCACGUGGAGUAAAAUGAUCAGGUGCUCUGCAAUGAAUAAAAGUAACUCCUAUCAGCCCAACAGAAUGCAGCCAUUCUCCUAUAACUGACAAGGAGGUUAGUCUGACUUCAAGGACAGUCUGGGAGUUGGGAUGUCUCCGUUCUAGACUGUGUCCUCGCAGUAAGACUUGGGCAUACUCCUGGGCCUUAUGGGUAAAGUCAAGUGUUAGUCCUAAUGAUCACACUGACACAGAACGGAAGUGAAAAGGCCCUCAGAGGCUUUAGUUUAUGACUUUGAGUGAACAGAUGAAGAAACUGAAGCCCAGAGAGGCCAAGUAACUUAUACUAGUCCACACAGCACUUCAGUAGCAUAAGCACAGAUAGGAACUCAGAUGUCUAGCUCCUAUUGUAGCCCAUUCCCAUCUGGGCAGGCUGUCAUCCUAAGGUCCCUUCUAUAGCAGUAUUUUCCAGCACGUAAAGUAAUCAUUGUAGAGGAGCAGAUGGCAAACACUGCUCAUCAUAGAGGCCUUUAAAUGGGCUCUAAAAAAAAGGACAGGAAACAACUAUAGAAAUUGUAAUUGUCUAACAGCAACAUUUGCAUAUUAUGGUAUUUCUAAGUGCUUUAAAAAAUCUUAUUAUCUCAAUAUAAGUACAUGAAGCAUUUCCUCAUUUCCCCUUGGCAGACCUUUUUCUUAAUUCCAAAUAAAUGGCAUCGGCAUUAGUGGGUGUUUGUGCAACCUCUUAAUUAAUCAAGACUCUCAGGUGCAGUGGAUAGAAAUGCAGCAAAACCAAUCUGAACAAAACAGGAACUUUGGCUCAUGUGAGUGUUAGGUCAUCCACAAUUAGAUUCAGAGACUUAAACAAGAUUGUAAGUAGUGCUUUCUCCUUUGCUCUCACAUGCUAUCUGGACUCUAUAUCUCUGUGUGGUUGUGGCCUCAUUUUCUCCUCAAGAUAGACUUUCUCCACAUGGGGAAGAUGUUUGUCAGCAGCCCAUUUCCAGCUCUCCCACCAAACUUAGGGAUUCUUUUUUCCUCUAACUCGAAAUAAAAAAUCCUAGGGAAUGACUGACUGGCCCUGCUAGGGACUCAUGACCACCCAUAGACCAAUCUCUGGGAACAGGUGAUUGGGUUACUAUCAAUGGCUUGGCCCAGAUCAUGUGCCCACACACCUAUGUCAGAACUUCCUUCUGGAUCAACAGUCUCACUAGGCUCUGAUGAUUAAGCCUGGGGAGAAGCACUUCCCACACCAAAAUAAAGAGCCAAACAUGAAUGGUUAUCUGACUUGGAAAGCUGAGAUUGUCCAAGAGAGACAAGAGGUCUGCCUAAAUUCCAGAAAUGAAGUCAUUGCUUGGGACAAAUAUUUACUGGUUCAUAUCAUGUUCACAGCUAUAUAUUUGCAAAAAUAAUGCAAUGUCGUGGAUCUAACUCCAUGGCUGAUCUAACUCCUGUUCUCAAUCCCUUACCCUACCUUUUAACUGGAGGUUCCAAGUUACAUAAUUCUGACCAAUAAGACCUAAGUUCCUGUUGUCUCUGUGGUUCUUGGAAAGCAUAUACUUUCCAGAUAUAGUUGUUGUCCCUUCCCUCUUCUUUCUGAUGGAAGAUGGACGUGAUACCUGGAGUUGCAGUAGCCAUCUUGCAACCACGAGGGAAGGACCAAAAGAAGUCUGUAAGCUGCAAACCAGAGCCAGCAGGCUGUUGCCUUGAGACUUUUUGUUAUGUAAGAAAAACAAUUACUAUCUGUUUAAAUCAUUAAAGUUAGCUUACUUGCAGCCAAAAUAUUCCUGAUACAAUGGAUAAAUCAGAUUCAUACGUAGCCAUAAAUAAAAUCUUAAACGUUAGAGUCUGGUAUAGGUCUCUGUCUUUCAGAGUUUUCAGUUCUCUGUCUUUUCAAACUUUGGGGAACAUAAAGAAGAC